rnacentral:lncRNA from 1 species
CCUGGCUCAGCUGACACCUCUAGAGGCUUCCUCAGUCUCCCAGGACAAGCCUGUCACUUUGCCUCUUUCCACAACAUUUCUGUGAAAACUUCUACCAGAGAGCCCCAGGGAUCUACCAGUUGGCCUCAGGGAGUUGUGAAUUCCCUGCAAUUUUAUGCAUAUUUUUGUAUAUGGGUAUUUGUACACUUUUUCUCAGGAGAAAAAGAAUCAACUUUUAUCAGGUUUCAGAGAGGUCUGUACCCUAAAAAUGUCUAAGAUGAAUACGAAUACAACUCUACUACAGUAUCACCUUCAUAGUACAGUGUGUGCUGUAAUGACAGUUCCAAGACUGUCUCCCUGCUAAUCUAGAGAAACCUCAAGGGCGAUGCACGAGGGUGUGGCCUAGAAGAUAGCGCUCGCUAAAUACUGGUUAGAUCAAUGUUGGGUAAAUAACAUGGCUCAGCUCUUGGAAAGACUGGGCCAGCAGGAUUUGAAAGGCACCAAACUCAGCCUUUUCCAGUGUAAAGGGAACUUGAAGCAACACAAAGACUCCCCCCAAACACACCUCCACAUGAGUGCAGAUGCACAAGCCUGACUGGCUAUGGCCACCUCAGAGUCCCCCAUCCCCAAAUCCACACCCCCAGAGCAGGGCUCUUCUAGAAGCCCAGCAAGCUCUAUGAGGUGAUCAGUCUUGAGUCAUAAAAGGAACUGCAGACCCCAAGAAUCCCUCCCUUACCACCUUUGCUCUUUGAACGUCUCAAUUUGCCAGUCCCCACUCCCACUUUGCCCCAUCUUGCUCCAAGGCUGGCAAACUUUGCUGGAGAAAACCACAAAAGUACUGAUGGAGCUGUCUGCCACUUGUGUCUGUCUUGGCCUGGACCUCAGUGGCAUUAGUCAUCUGUAUGAGAAUGUACACCCGUCAUCAAGCAACCACGACUGUACUGAUGCUGACUGUGGGUCCAGGUGGUGACAGGCUGAACCCACCAACAUCAUCUUAUGUGCAGCUAUGCCUUUCUCCUCUUGUCCCCAGUUCUUCAGGACCUUUUGUCGUGAGUUAUUUCGACUUUAUCUUAUUUCUUCAACUUCUCUAUCUACUUUCUCUUUCUCUUAAAAGAAAAAAGAGAAAAAUCAUGCUUAUUCUAUAAUAAGCAUGGUUUAGAAUGUGGCUUAGAAUAGUAAAGAAAUGGGUAAAACUUAAAUGUCCAAAUAGAGAAUUGAUUAUAGACUUUAUUGAAUAAAAUCAUUUGCAGCCGCUAAAAAUUACGUCA